CGGAAUCCUUCCGCCGCUUCCGAC
rnacentral:snRNA from 1 species